GGAGACGGAGAGCAGAGCAGCUGCUGGCGAGAGGGCGGGCGGACACGGGCACACAGGAGCUCCUCGGCCGGUCAGCUGAAGACCUCCAGUGGAAGCUUUUGACGGGAUGUGAUCAGCCACAGUUGGACAUAUUGUAUCUUUUUUAAAAAAAUGAACAGAUCUCCAUAGAGGAAAAAAGCAUCUAGACAACUUCCUGGAUCCCACUCCUGAGAUGAGAUUUUAAGAGGAAGUUAGAGAGUCUGGGGCACAUGUCCAGCUUCUAAGACAGAUGUUAAAGGCUGAUACCACCAUGUCCCAAGAAGGAUGUCCUUGUCUAAAGAUAAAGAAACUUGCUCAGGAUGACAUAGCUAAUUAAUGACAGAGCUGGAAUUCAAACCCCAGGUUCAGUUGUUCCAAUCCUGUCCAACUCUUCCUCGACCCCAUUUGGAGUUUUCUUGGCAAACUGG